rnacentral:rRNA from 1 species
CUUCCGUAAGGGGAACCUGCGGAAGGAUCAUUCCUGUGAUUUACUACUACACUGCGUGAGCGGAACGAAAACAACAACACCUAAAAUGUGGAAUAUAGCAUAUAGUCGACAAGAGAAAUCUACGAAAAAACAAACAAAACUUUCAACAACGGAUCUCUUGGUUCUCGCAUCGAUGAAGAGCGCAGCGAAAUGCGAUACCUAGUGUGAAUUGCAGCCAUCGUGAAUCAUCGAGUUCUUGAACGCACAUUGCGCCCCUCGGCAUUCCGGGGGGCAUGCCUGUUUGAGCGUCGUUUCCAUCUUGCGCGUGCGCAGAGUUGGGGGAGCGGAGCGGACGACGUGUAAAGAGCGUCGGAGCUGCGACUCGCCUGAAAGGGAGCGAAGCUGGCCGAGCGAACUAGACUUUUUUUCAGGGACGCUUGGCGGCCGAGAGCGAGUGUUGCGAGACAACAAAAAGCUCGACCUCAAAUCAGGUAGGAAUACCCGCUGAACUUAAGCAUAUCAAUAAGCCGGAGGAAA